rnacentral:tRNA from 1 species
GGGUCGAUAGCUUAGUUGGUAAGACGCUCGUCUAGCAUACAAGAGUCCUGGGUUCAAAUCCCAGCCGAGCAC